rnacentral:lncRNA from 1 species
GAUAAGACUAAGAAACGUAGUGAAAAAACAUCAAAGCGUAAGGAGACAGCUCCCUGUUUUAGAUGUGGGACUAUCCGACAUUGGGAGAAUGAGUGUAAGGUGAUACUGGAACCUACUGCGUUAGCGGGAAAUGCAGCUAUACAAGAUUUUGCAUAUUUUUCAAAAGAGCAACAAGGUUACGUCAGAUCGUGUCUUAAUGCAUGGUAGAAGUAAUUUGACCAUAGACAGUGUGUGUAAACCUCAAAACCCUCCCUAACCGGCUGAAGAAAGAGCGACGGAGGCGUGCAAGGAGAGACAGUGACUUACCACUCCUAUCUGAGUCCGAGCCAUAAAACAGGGCCGGGGUGGUGAGAGCGUGUGUGGAGUGAGCGUGGAGAGAGAGAACAAGCUCAGGUGAGAGACUCGUGUAGGUGGGAGAAACGGAAGUAUCUACUUGGAUAUUACAAUCGGGACAUUAUCAAGGGCCAUGAAAUGUGACAGGCAAAAGUUACAUGUGAUGUUGGGAAAAUGAACUGUAAACGAUAUCUGAAGAAGACACGCUAGAAUGAUAAGUGCCGGGUGAAGGAAAGGGGGGGUGGUAUACGCCCGGCUAACUAUUUAAACUAGGAAUGCAUUGAGAUACUGAUCUUUCUUUACCAGGCCACUCAUGACAGGAAAACAGGGAUGAAAGGGGGCUGUAAUGAGAAGAGUUAUGACCGGCAAUAAAAAGUUGUUUAUAAAUGUAUGUUCUAACAGGGAUGAUGUUUGCGAAAUUGAUAAACUGGAAUUUGAGCCUUAGUCUCAGAGUAAGCUCUGAGGUCAGUCACUCAAUAUUCGGGUUGGAUAAUUUAUAAAAUGUUUUAGUUGUGAUUGGGAUACAGCGAGAGAGAAUUGCUAAAGCACGAUGAGCGGUGGGGGCACUGCUAACAUUUAUGUGGCCGAGAGAGUCUCCAGACACUUACCUCUAAGUGUCAUCCUGAGUGGAGGUGGUUUGUUUGGGGAAUCACUGGAUGAUAGCUUGGGGCAACCAUGAAAGUUUUUUUUCGUUUUAUCCUGUAUUCAGAGUUUUUAUGUUACAUCGCAUCAAUGAGUGGUGCUAAGUUAUUAAACAUGUACUUUGUUUCUCUUUUCUUUUCACAUCAAUAUGUUUUUAGGUUUCGUGGAACAUGAGGCUGUUCAUUGUUCCAGAGGAGGGAAUGAUGUAUAUUGACUAACUGAGUUGAGAAUGUGUUAGGAUGUUUAUAACUGUAGAAAAUGCAUGAGGAGUAUAGUGUGUUAUGGGUUAGAUGUAAUGAUAGAGGAGUAUCAUUCCCCAGAGACUGUAUAUUGUUACAGGAGAUAGCUCAUAGAAGAGGGAGAGCAGCUAACUGUACAAAAUAUGGGGAUUUAAUGGAACAUUACACAUACCUAGAUCAUGGUGAGAGUAGAAGAGAUAGUGGUGGCAUUUCAGACACUAUGGUAAACUUUCAGGACACCAAUGACUCAGAGUUUUGUUAGGUUGGAUAUUAUUCCCAACUCAUUUAGUUUUUCUCCAAUUUCUAACAGCUGGCAAACAUUUGACAGAUUACAUGCAGGAGGUAUUCUCACGGCAGAGGCGCUGUAGGGACAGUAACUGAAGGAGCUGUACUAGUAGCGUAGGAUGCUAUAUUGAUAGCAUGGAAUUGGACUACUGCGCAAAUGAGGGGUAUUGUGAGACUAUAGUCAUGGGCCAUGUUGGAAGUAGCAAUGGUUACUUUAGUAGCAUUGUUGGGAUAGCAGUUUAUGACAACUCAUGUCACAUGGAUUGGUUACUGGUAACUGGGGGACCAAUGGGAGGACAGGGGAUGCGGUUAUUCAAAUAUCACAAAUUAUGUUGUCAGGAAAUGACCCAUGUGUUACAGUGUGCAUAUCCUCAGGUGAAAGCAGAGAUAUAACCAAGGGCACGGGCUGAAUUCUGGAGAUAGUGUACAUCUUGAGAGAC